ACACACACACACAUGAUACACACACACAUGAUACACACACACACAGACAUGAUCCAUUAGACACACACCUGCCAGUUGUGGAAACAGUUGGUUCCGAGGCUGCUUAUCUCAGAGACAGCGUUGGGAGAUAGAACAGAACAGUCUGGACGCAGCACCACCACCCUCGGUACAUCCUCCACCUCAAACAUAGACUCCAGCUCUCUGAUACACACACACACACACACACACACACACAGACACACACAUUAUAUACACACCCACACACAGUGUAAGAUAUACACACACACACACACACACACACACACACAGACACACACGUUAUAUACACACCCACACACAGUGUAAGAUAUACACACACACACACACACACACACACACACACACAGACACAUUAUAUACACACCCACACACAGUGUAAGAUAUACACACACACACACACACACACACACAGACACGUUAUAUACACACACACACACACACACACACACACACACACACACACACACACACACACACACACACACACACAGACACAUUAUAUACACACACACACACACAGUGUAAGAUAUACACACACACACACACACACACACACACACAGACACAUUAUAUACACACCCACACACAGUGUAAGAUAUACACACACACACACGCACACACACACACACACACACACACACACACACACACACACACACACACACACACACACAGACACAUUAUAUACACACCCACACACAGUGUAAGAUAUAUACACACACACACAGACACAUUAUAUACACACCCACACACAGUGUAAGAUAUACACACACACACACACACACACACACACACACACACACACACAGACACGUUAUACACACACACACACACACACAGUGUAAGAUAUACACACACACACAGACACGUUAUACACACACACACACACAGUGUAAGAUAUACACACACAGACACGGACGGACAGACACAUUACAUAUACACAAUCACUCUAUACACACACACAGUGUAAGAUACACACACACUCUAUAGACACUCCUCCCCAUCCUACCCAACCCCAUCCUUUCCACCCAAUCCCAUCCACCCAUACCUGCGAUAGGGGUCAUCAAGGGUUAGGAACAGGCAUUUCUCCUCCCCACCCAAUCCCAUCCACCCAUACCUACGAUAGAGGUCAUCGAGGGUUAGGAACAGGCAUUUCUCCUCCCCACCCAAUCCCAUCCA
ensembl:lncRNA